GAUGAAGAACGUAGCGAAAUGCGAUAAGUAAUGUGAAUUGCAGAAUUCAGUGAAUCAUCGAAUCUUUGAACGCACAUUGCGCCCGCCAGUAUUCUGGCGGGCAUGCCUGUUCGAGCGUCAUUUCAACCAUCGAGCCCCCGGCUUGUGUUGGGGACCUGCGGCUGCCGCAGGCCCUGAAAAGCAGUGGCGGGCUCGCUGUCACACCGAGCGUAGUAGCAUACAUCUCGCUCUGGGCGUGCUGCGGGUUCCGGCCGUUAAACCACCUUCAUAACCCAAGGUUGACCUCGGAUCAGGUAGGAAGACCCGCUGAACUUAAGCAUAUCAAUAAGCGGAGGA
rnacentral:misc_RNA from 1 species